UACAGGGGGUGCAAACGUUGCUCGGAAUCAUUGGGCGUAAAGCGCACGUAGGCGGUUCGUUAUGUCGGAUGUGAAAGCCCUUGGCUUAACCGAGGAACUGCGUCCGAUACUGAAAGGCUUGAAUCCGGGAGAGGGAUGUGGAAUUCCAGGUGUAGCGGUGAAAUGCGUAGAUAUCUGGAGGAACACCGGUGGCGAAGGCGGCAUCCUGGACCGGCAUUGACGCUGAGGCGCGAAAGCUAGGGGAGCAAACGGG
rnacentral:rRNA from 1 species